rnacentral:rRNA from 1 species
UACGGAGGGUGCAAGCGUUGUCCGGAAUCACUGGGCGUAAAGGGCGCGUAGGCGGCCCGGUAAGUAGGGGGUGAAAUCCUGCGGCUUAACCGCAGGGCUGCCUUCUAAACUGUCGGGCUCGAGCACGGUAGAGGCAGAUGGAAUUCCCGGUGUAGCGGUGGGAAUGCGUAGAUAUCGGGAGGAACACCGGUGGCGAAGGCGGUUCUCUGGGCCGUUACCUGACGCUGAGGAGCGAAAGCGUGGGGAGCGAACAGG